rnacentral:lncRNA from 1 species
GUCUUGGCCACAUCGCUAAGAACUGUACAAGCUUCACUGGAACUAAUUGAGGGGCUAGACAAGUGCCACAGAAGAAAAAGCCUAAUUGGAGAAGGGAAGAUCAUGCGGAAGCAUACCUGGUAACAACAAAAACUGAGAAAAAUGAAACUUUGUUUAUGUUGGAUUCUGCGUGCACGCAGCAUAUUGUAAACAGACUUGAACUUUUAAAGGACAUUUCUGCAGCUAUGGAUGUAGUUCAGAUAAAGCUUGCUGAAGGAAGUCAUGUAAGUGUAAAUCAAAAAGGUUCUCUGUAUCUUCACAAUCUUAAGACAACUUUAAGCAAUGUUUUGUCUGUGCCUAAUUUGAGUUAUUGCUUGUUGAGUGUGUCUAAACUAAUGGAAGAAGGUUUUGAAGUGAAAUUCAAUGCUCAUGAAUGUGUUAUAAUGAAAAAGAAUUUCUUAUGUGCUAAGGGCUAUUUGGAAAAUGGUUUGUACUGGUUGAAAGCAUAUGAACAGUCUGUGUGCAACUUAGAAGAUAUUCAGAAUAGGCCUUUGCAUAACCAUUGUAUUCACUAUCUUCACAGAAUUUUAGGUCACACAAGUUUUUCUACUUUGGCUAAAGCUUCAAGAGUGUGUGAUCUCAAUGUGAAACCAUGUCGUAAAUUUCUUGACUGCAAAAUCUGCAGCAGUGUGAAGGUUAAAAGGUUUCCUUCUACUAAGAUAAGCCACCAUAAAUCAAGCCGUCCUUUUCAGUUGUUUCACAUGAACCUGGCUGGCCCCUUUGAUCCAAGUCAGGGGAAAUCUCGUUAUUUAUAUGUGUUAUGUGAUGAUUUUUCUAGAUACACAUAUGUUUAUUUCUUGAAAAACAAGUCAGAGGUUUUUCAGAAAUUUAAGCAAUGGGUGCGCAUGGUUGAGAAUCAAUUUCGUUACAAAGUGUCUUGCAUUCAGACUGACAGAGGUGGUGAAUUUUUGAGUACAGAAUUUAAAAAUUGGCUUGAUGCAAGAGGCAUCAGACACAGAAUGACUAAUCCUCACUCACCCUUCGAAAAUGGUGUAGCUGAAAGAAGGAUUGGAAUUUUAAAAACAAUGAGGGACACAAUGUUAUCAGAUGCAGAACUACCAUUUAAUUUUUGGGCUGAGUGUGUAAGAUCAGCAGUCCAUAUAAUUAAUAGGAUCUGGUCUUCAAGUGUGAAUAAUAUUCCUUAUUUUCUGUUGUAUGGCAAGAAUCCUGAUCUGUCUUAUUUGAGAAUUUUUGGUUCUUUUACCAAUGUGUUAAUACCUGAAGCUCAAAGACAAAGAGGAGAGCCAAAGUGGAAGAGACUAAGAUUUGUUGGGUAUGAAAAUUCAACUAAGGGGUAUCAUUUUUCUGAGAAAUAUGGCAAGAUUAUCAUAUCUAGAAAUGCCAAUUUUGAAAAACACAGUGGAUGGGAAAAAGUUCAUUCGAACCGUGAAGUAUUUUUGCCUCCUAUGCAAAGAAGAGCUGAGAGAGCUGAGAGUGAGACAGUUUUAAGGCCUGUUGUAAAUCAACGAAUCUCACAGCGAACUACAAAGAGUAUUCCUCCACAAAGAUAUGGUUUUUCCCAGAUUGUCACAACAGACAAUGCAGAUCCAAUUUCUUAUCAAGAAAUAAUGUCUCAAGCACCACAGGAAAUUCAACUUUGGAAAGAAGCAAUGCAAACAGAAUAUGAGGCAUUAUUAAAACAACAUGUUUUACAAAGAUU